rnacentral:rRNA from 1 species
UACGUAGGGGGCAAGCGUUGUCCGGAAUCAUUGGGCGUAAAGAGCGUGUAGGCGGUCCGGUAAGUCGGCUGUGAAAGUCCAGGGCUCAACCCUGGGAUGCCGGUCGAUACUGCCGGACUAGAGUUCGGAAGAGGCGAGUGGAAUUCCCGGUGUAGCGGUGAAAUGUGUAGAUAUUCGGAAGAACACCAGUGGCGAAGGCAGCGAACUGGCGCUAGAUUGACGAUCAGGCACGAAAGCAUGGGGAUCAAACAGG